GCAUAUCAAUAAGCGGAGGAAAAAGAAAACUAACAAGGAUUUCCCCUAGUAACUGCGAGUGAAGCGGGAAAAGCUCAAAUUUGUAAUCUGGCGGCCUUCGGUCGUCCGAGUUGUAAUCUAGAGAAGUGCUUUCCGCGCUGGACCGUGUACAAGUCUCCUGGAACGGAGCGUCGUAGAGGGUGAGAAUCCCGUCUUUGACACGGACUACCAGUGCUCUGUGAUGCGCUCUCGAAGAGUCGAGUUGUUUGGGAAUGCAGCUCAAAAUGGGAGGUGAAUUCCUUCUAAAGCUAAAUAUUGGCGAGAGACCGAUAGCGAACAAGUACCGUGAGGGAAAGAUGAAAAGCACUUUGGAAAGAGAGUUAAACAGUACGUGAAAUUGUUGAAAGGGAAACGCUUGAAGUCAGUCGCGUCUGCCGAGACUCAGCCUUGCCUCCUGGCUUGGUGUACUUCUCGGUGGACGGGCCAGCAUCAGUUUUGACCGCCGGACAAGGGCGGGGGGAAGGUGGCACCUUCGGGUGUGUUAUAGCCCCUCGUCGCAUACGGCGGUUGGGAUUGAGGAACUCAGCACGCCUUUAUGGUCGGGGUUCGCCCACGUUCGUGCUUAGGAUGCUGGCGUAAUGGCUUUAAACGACCCGUCUUGAAACACGGACCAAGGAGUCUAACAUGCCCGCGAGUGUUCGGGUGGAAAACCCGUGCGCGUAAUGAAAGUGAAAGUUGGGACCCCUGUCGUGGGGGGCACCGACGCCCGGACCAGACCUUCUGUGACGGAUCUGCGGUAGAGCGUGUAUGUUGGGACCCGAAAGAUGGUGAACUAUGCCUGAAUAGGGUGAAGCCAGAGGAAACUCUGGUGGAGGCUCGUAGCGAUUCUGACGUGCAAAUCGAUCGUCAAAUUUGGGUAUAGGGGGCGAAAGACUAAUCGAAACCAUCUAGUAGCUGGGUUCCUGCGAG
rnacentral:rRNA from 1 species